rnacentral:rRNA from 1 species
AGUGAACGCUGGCGGUAGGCCUAACACAUGCAAGUCGAACGGCAGCACAGUAAGAGCUUGCCCUUACGGGUGGCGAGUGGCGGACGGGUGAGGAAUACAUCGGAAUCUACUUUUUCGUGGGGGAUAACGUAGGGAAACUUACGCUAAUACCGCAUACGACCUACGGGUGAAAGCAGGGGAUCUUCGGACCUUGCGCGAUUGAAUGAGCCGAUGUCGGAUUAGCUAGUUGGCGGGGUAAAGGCCCACCAAGGCGACGAUCCGUAGCUGGUCUGAGAGGAUGAUCAGCCACACUGGAAUUGAGACACGGUCCAGACUCCUACGGGAGGCAGCAGUGGGGAAUAUUGGACAAUGGGCGCAAGCCUGAUCCAGCCAUACCGCGUGGGUGAAGAAGGCCUUCGGGUUGUAAAGCCCUUUUGUUGGGAAAGAAAAGCAGCAGGUUAAUACCCCGCUGUUCUGACGGUACCCAAAGAAUAAGCACCGGCUAACUUCGUG